GCGAUCUCAGAGGCGCUGGACUGUGGGAGCCUGCAGGUCUUUGACACCGGGCUCUGCGUGAAGAGCCAAAAACUCACGUGGGUUCAGCCAGACGAAAGAAGUCGGAGGCUUAGGGGAACGAGCAACCCCUUAAAGGAACCAGUGUGCGCUCACAGGGCAGAGACUGUUCCUUACUCAUAUCUGUAUUUCUGUAUUAUCAAACAUAGCAUAAUGCAUAGGCCACAACAGGACUCAUUAGAAACUAUCAGGUUUGUAUUAAUUAAAUCAAAUAUAAUGUAUCCUGUUGUACAGUCUCAAAAGGCUUCAUCGACUGCAUCCCGUUUCACCGCUCAAAUUUUCCAGGUAAUCAGACAAAAGUUGUCCCAAAGAGGCCCCUUUCCUCCCCUUACCUCCCCAUGUCUAUCUGAAUCAUUACAUUCAGCCUCAACUAUUCAGCUACACAGCCGUACUCAGUACCAGAGGUAAUGUAUUACUUUCAUUGACCUAAAAAAUAAUAAUAAUAAUGAUUUAUCAGAUAAAAUUAUAAUGCAUAGUACCAUAUUAAAGCCCAAGGAACAUAAAAGAACAUGGAGAAAUAGUUCUUUUCCUUGUGGAAUUUGCAAUUCUUUUUUGGAGAUGUGAAAGAAUAUGAUGAAUCCAGGUAAGUGAUGCUCUCCCUCCUAAAUGACUUCUUUUUCCAAAUGAUCCCAAAGGGGCUCUUGAAGCCAUCUUUCUAAAACAUGGUUCCAAGCCUAAGUCAUAGUCUUGUGUAAGAAAGAAAAAAAAACAAAAGCGGUGGUUCCCCAACUCCUGAGCCACGCCCCCGCCCCCAGCUGAAUUGGUGUGACUUUCAAGCACACCUCUGUCCCUUUGUACAUGGUUUCACUCUGCCAAAAGCAUAUUUAUUCCUCUACCCUAUUUUAAGAUCAUUUAUUCAUCUUUGAGCUCCAACUAAAAUCACUUCCUUCCCUCAGUCUCAUAGCUUUUUCCCCCCACAACCCCACAAUAAUUGUUUUUAGUCCUCACAUGUCCUGAAGUUAUUGUUUAUUUCUUCCAUUUGACUGGGUCUUGUCCAUUUUUAUAUCAACCUAGCAUUGUGCUUUGAAUAUAGUACCCCAAUAUAAAUGUUUGUUGAAUAAAUUGUAAAGUAUGUGGAAGUAUCUAAAAGACAAGAUAAAUUGGGCAAACUUUAGAGAAUGGUAGGUUGAAUUCAAGUGUUGAAUGAUAGGUUUGGCAAAGGAGGUGGAGAUAAAAACAUGCCUUAAAAAUAUUAAAUUUUAAAUGUUCAUAUACAUUU